rnacentral:rRNA from 1 species
AGUCGAGGGGCAGCAUUUCAGUUUGCUUGCAAACUGGAGAUGGCGACCGGCGCACGGGUGAGUAACACGUAUCCAACCUGCCGAUAACUCGGGGAUAGCCUUUCGAAAGAAAGAUUAAUACCCGAUGGUAUAAUCAGACCGCAUGGUCUUAUUAUUAAAGAAUUUCGGUUAUCGAUGGGGAUGCGUUCCAUUAGGCAGUUGGUGAGGUAACGGCUCACCAAACCUUCGAUGGAUAGGGGUUCUGAGAGGAAGGUCCCCCACAUUGGAACUGAGACACGGUCCAAACUCCUACGGGAGGCAGCAGUGAGGAAUAUUGGUCAAUGGGCGCAGGCCUGAACCAGCCAAGUAGCGUGAAGGAUGACUGCCCUAUGGGUUGUAAACUUCUUUUAUAUGGGAAUAAAGUUUUCCACGUGUGGAAUUUUGUAUGUACCAUAUGAAUAAGGAUCGGCUAACUCCGUGCCAGCAGCCGCGGUAAUACGGAGGAUCCGAGCGUUAUCCGGAUUUAUUGGGUUUAAAGGGAGCGUAGGUGGACAGUUAAGUCAGUUGUGAAAGUUUGCGGCUCAACCGUAAAAUUGCAGUUGAUACUGGCUGUCUUGAGUACAGUAGAGGUGGGCGGAAUUCGUGGUGUAGCGGUGAAAUGCUUAGAUAUCACGAAGAACUCCGAUUGCGAAGGCAGCUCACUGGACUGCAACUGACACUGAUGCUCGAAAGUGUGGGUAUCAAACAGGAUUAGAUACCCUGGUAGUCCACACAGUAAACGAUGAAUACUCGCUGUUUGCGAUAUACAGUAAGCGGCCAAGCGAAAGCAUUAAGUAUUCCACCUGGGGAGUACGCCGGCAACGGUGAAACUCAAAGGAAUUGACGGGGGCCCGCACAAGCGGAGGAACAUGUGGUUUAAUUCGAUGAUACGCGAGGAACCUUACCCGGGCUUAAAUUGCAUUUGAAUAANNUGGAAACAGGUUAGCCGCAAGGCAAAUGUGAAGGUGCUGCAUGGUUGUCGUCAGCUCGUGCCGUGAGGUGUCGGCUUAAGUGCCAUAACGAGCGCAACCCUUAUCUUUAGUUACUAACAGGUCAUGCUGAGGACUCUAGAGAGACUGCCGUCGUAAGAUGUGAGGAAGGUGGGGAUGACGUCAAAUCAGCACGGCCCUUACGUCCGGGGCUACACACGUGUUACAAUGGGGGGUACAGAAGGCAGCUACCUGGUGACAGGAUGCUAAUCCCAAAAGCCUCUCUCAGUUCGGAUCGAAGUCUGCAACCCGACUUCGUGAAGCUGGAUUCGCUAGUAAUCGCGCAUCAGCCAUGGCGCGGUGAAUACGUUCCCGGGCCUUGUACACACCGCCCGUCAAGCCAUGAAAGCCGGGGGUACCUGAAGUACGUAACCGCAAGGAG